CGGCGGCCCCAAGUCAUAAACCCGUACUUCAAAUUCAAGGAGCUUCCCUGGUCCGCAUACGAGGAUAUAUGGAGAGAGUUGAUGAAAUUCUAUUGUCUUGAGGACUACCCUGGGGCGUGGCACUAUGUUUUCAAUAUCAAAGUUGAGGCCGUGCUCAAACA